UACGUAGGGGGCGAGCGUUGUCCGGAUUUAUUGGGCGUAAAGGGCGCGUAGGCGGCGUGGUAAGUCACUUGUGAAAUCUCCGAGCUUAACUCGGAACUGCCAAGUGAUACUGCUGUGCUAGAGUGCAGAAGGGGCAACCGGAAUUCUUGGUGUAGCGGUGAAAUGCGUAGAUAUCAAGAGGAACACCUGAGGUGAAGACGGGUUGCUGGGCUGACACUGACGCUGAGGCGCGAAAGCUAGGGUAGCAAACGGG
rnacentral:rRNA from 1 species